rnacentral:Y_RNA from 1 species
GGCUGGUCCAACAGUAGUGAGUCAACAUAAAUUACUACUAUUAGUUAAACCAACCUUUCAGUAUUUUCAGUAUUCUGUCCCUCUGCUAACCUUGGCUAUUCUUUU